UUGAAGGUUUUACAGUAUGGCCCUGACAAUUAAUCAAGUUUUUAAGUUUGAUACAUCAUCCAUCAAUGGAAACUGAUGCUCUUCACAUAUUCCUUUAGAUUGCUAUUAUGCCAUUGAAGAACCUAGAAAAUCAAUAGAGCUGGAUUCUUAAUGACCAGCAAAGUGAAAUUGCCCUGUUAGUAAGUUACUAAUAAAUAAUCAAACCUAGAUUACCAUAAAUUUCAAUUAUUGACCAAUAAAAUACCUUGAACUGAUUAGAACCUAUACUUAAGAGUCUUAAACCAAUAUUCACAUCAGCUAGUAAUAUUUAACAUUCAAAUCCUUGCAUUCAACCAACCUAAACUCAUUUAACAAUUAUUUCUUAUGUGAUAAUCAUUAUAGGCCAAUGUAAGCCAAGUAGGUAACUGUUGAGUCAUUUCCAGAAGCCCUAGGACAAGAGCUUUCUUACAUUUCAAAUUUGGAAAUAGAGAGAUUUGGCAUUAUUUCUCAUUACCCAAUCCCAAAAAAAUAAACAUACUCAAAAUAAAAUAUAAAAUAUCCUUUUGUGUAAAACAACAUCCAACAUAGUUUACUAGAAAUCAAAUUACUUGCACAUUCCAUUAUAUCUUUACAUAGAAGGAAGACAAUAA
rnacentral:misc_RNA from 1 species